rnacentral:rRNA from 1 species
UACGUAGGGGGCAAGCGUUGUCCGGAAUCAUUGGGCGUAAAGAGCGCGUAGGCGGUCCGGUAAGUCGGUUGUGAAAACUGGGGGCUCAACCCUCAGAGGCCGACCGAUACUGUCGGGCUAGAGUCCGGAAGAGGCGAGUGGAAUUCCUGGUGUAGCGGUGAAAUGCGCAGAUAUCAGAAGGAACACCAAUGGCGAAGGCAGCUCGCUGGGACGGUACUGACGCUGAGGCGCGAAAGCGUGGGGAGCAAACAGG